GUGCCAAACUUGCAAGUUCGAACGAGUUCUGAUAUUGAAAGGUGCUUGCAUCUUGAUUAAUUUUGAACGAGUGGCGGACGGGUGAGUAACACGUGGGUAACCUGCCCUUAAGUGGGGGAUAACAUUUGGAAACAGAUGCUAAUACCGCAUAAAUCCAAGAACCGCAUGGUUCUUGGCUGAAAGAUGGCGUAAGCUAUCGCUUUUGGAUGGACCCGCGGCGUAUUAGCUAGUUGGUGAGGUAACGGCUCACCAAGGCAAUGAUACGUAGCCGAACUGAGAGGUUGAUCGGCCACAUUGGGACUGAGACACGGCCCAAACUCCUACGGGAGGCAGCAGUAGGGAAUCUUCCACAAUGGACGCAAGUCUGAUGGAGCAACGCCGCGUGAGUGAAGAAGGCUUUCGGGUCGUAAAACUCUGUUGUUGGAGAAGAAUGGUCGGCAGAGUAACUGUUGUCGGCGUGACGGUAUCCAACCAGAAAGCCACGGCUAACUACGUGCCAGCAGCCGCGGUAAUACGUAGGUGGCAAGCGUUAUCCGGAUUUAUUGGGCGUAAAGCGAGCGCAGGCGGUUUUUUAAGUCUGAUGUGAAAGCCCUCGGCUUAACCCGAGGAAGUGCAUCGGAAACUGGGAAACUUGAGUGCAGAAGAGGACAGUGGAACUCCAUGUGUAGCGGUGAAAUGCGUAGAUAUAUGGAAGAACACCAGUGGCGAAAGCGGGUGUCUGGUCUGUAACUGACGCUGAAGCUCGAAAGCAUGGUAGCGAACAGGAUUAGAUACCCUGGUAGUCCAUGCCGUAACGAUGAAUGCUAGUGUUGGAGGGUUUCCGCCCUUCAGUGCUGCAGCUAUCGCAUUAAGCAUUCCGCCUGGGGAGUACGACCGCAAGGUUGAACUCANNNUNACGGGGCCGCANNNNGUGAAGCAUGUGUUAUCGAGCACGACGCA
rnacentral:rRNA from 2 species